UACGUAGGGUGCGAGCGUUGUCCGGAAUUAUUGGGCGUAAAGGGCUCGUAGGCGGUUUGUCGCGUCGGGAGUGAAAAUCCAGGGCUUAACUCUGGACUGGCUUCCGAUACGGGCAGACUAGAGGUAUGCAGGGGAGAACGGAAUUCCUGGUGUAGCGGUGAAAUGCGCAGAUAUCAGGAGGAACACCGGUGGCGAAGGCGGUUCUCUGGGCAUUACCUGACGCUGAGAAGCGAAAGCCAGGGGAGCAAACGGG
rnacentral:rRNA from 1 species